rnacentral:rRNA from 1 species
GAUGAACGCUAGCGGCAGGCCUAAUACAUGCAAGUCGAACGGUAACAUGGCAGCAAUGCUGAUGACGAGUGGCGCACGGGUGCGUAACGCGUAUGCAAUCUACCCUUUACUGGGGAAUAGCCCGGAGAAAUUCGGAUUAACACCGCAUAAUAUAAUGGAAAGGCAUCUUUUUAUUAUUAAAUCUACGGAGGUAAAGGAUGAGCAUGCGUCUGAUUAGUUAGUUGGGAGGUAACGGCUCACCAAGACGAUGAUCA